GCAGUGGUAACUUGCUGGGUUCCUUUCCCAGCAGUGUGGAAGCUUUGUUCUUUUGCUCUUUGCGCUAAAUCUUGCUGCUGCUCACUCUGGUCUUUGGCUGUCCCUGAUGAAGUUGCCUGGGCACACCAGAGUGUGGGAGAGUGGACGGCGCGGCCCCUCCUGCACUUGGAGCUGCUCUCAGAUCUUGGGCUGUGACCCCUGUGGGUGACACGAAGUUCAGUGAUUGUCCUCCUUCUGGACUGAGGGACAUCCAUCCACACGCGCCCCCUCCACAGCCCGAUCCCAUCACGUCCUGCUCGUCCAACAUGGGCCUUAGAUCCUGGGGUCUCUGCUGAGUGCCUCCCCUCUGAACGCCCGGCUGGCACUUUCACGGUGAAGCCAGCUGUCAUGGACACCGACGGCAGGUGGCCUUUCUGCGUUGUCUACCGGCUGAUCUUGAAAGUGAAAACGGACAUUGUCUGCCCUGUGGUGACCGUGUUGGGUGAUGGUCCUGGGGUCAGGCCCUGCAUGCACCUUCACCCAGGGAUGGCUUCUUAGCUGACAGCGGCUCUGCCAGGAACCACGAUCACCCUCCAGUUUGCUCUUUGUGCUGAAUUUUAUUGACAUGAAAUUCGCAUGACGCCAACUUUAUCGUUUUAAAGUGAAUGGUUAAACAGAAUGCGGCACUUUCACAGGGCGGCAUGACCCCCACCUCUGUCUGCCUUCAGAACAUUUUCAUCCCCCACGAAAGGAGGAAGCGCAGUCCCCAGGAACAGUUACUCCUCAUUUCCCCUCCCCAGCUCUGGCUUCCGCAACCACGAAUCUGCUUUCUGUCUCCGUGAAUUUGCCUCUUUCGGAUAUAUUUCACGUAAAUGGAGUCCCGUGAUAGAUGAGCUGUGUCUGCCUCUUGCGGGCAGCACAGUGUCUGGAAGGUUCUCCGUGCAGCCGCAGGGGUUGGCGCUUCCUUCCUCCCGAGGCUGACCCGGCCCCGUCGUACGGGGAGUCCACUGUGUGUCUGUCUUUUGGCUGCUGUGAGCCUGGGUGUGCCGCCUGCUCCAGCCCAUGUUUUCAGCUCUUUCAGGUGUGGAGGGAGGAGUGGAAUUGUGGGAUCAUAUUGUAACUUUAACUUUGGAAGGAUCUGCCAAAUUACCCCUCUAAUUUGUUUUCAAUUUUAUUCUUAUUUCCCUGUCACUUGUUCUUUCUUUUGACUGGUUAAAAAAAAUGGCAAAGGUCUUCAGCAAAACAAGAAGUGAGUUUCAAUUGAACCGUGAAUUAAAUAUGAUACACUCAAAAUCUGACCAAUAAUACAUUUUAAUUUUCCCCACACAUUUACGUCCACGUUAAUUUCAUGGAAAUCAAGAUGCUUUUGCCUCUGUUCUAAAGUAUUUAUUUUUUUUAAGACAGGUUCUUACUCUGUUGCCCAGGCUGGAGUGCAAUGGCGCGAUCUCAGCUCACUGCAGUCUUGACCUCCCAGGCUCAAGCAAUCCUCCUGCCUCAGCCUCCUGAGUAGCUGGGACCACAGGUGUGCAUCACCAUGCCUGGCUAAUUUGUUACAUUUUUAGUAGAGACGGGGUUUCACCAUGUUGGCCAGGCUGGUCUGGAACUCCUGACCUGAAGCGAUCCUCCCACCUCAGCCUCCCACAGUGCUGGGAUUACAGGCGUGAGCCACCACGUGCAGCCUGAAAGUAUUUUUUUUUAGAGUUUCCUAAAAGUUUCAUCAUCCCUUUUGUUUUCCUAACAAGCUGUGAAACCCAGUGGGUUUUAAUUGUGAAUCAGCACCAAAACACAUGCAGAUUUAAUUUUUAAUUGAAAUGAUGGACAAUAAACAGAAUUAAUAACUCAAAUGCUUGAAGUCUGUCAAGCAUGGUGCUUUGUCUUUGCCAUGGACAUGAAAAAGCAGCAUUCCCCUCCGGACUUGAGGCUGGGGACCUUCUGAGUCAGAGCAGCCCCUCCCUCCCCACCUCCACGGCUGUUUCCACUUUGCCAUCUCCCCAGCGGGCUCUGCCCGUCCACCUGUGAGACACUCUGACUCCACGGCUUGGCUUCUGCUUGCCCCAGGCAGUGGGAUUCGGUGGCCAGGCCCUCAUUUGUUUCCCCCUCCUCCUUUCCCCAGCAGCUCCUGGCCUGGCAUGCAGCAGGUGCUCUGCUGGGCGAGUGGGAGGAGGGAGCAUAGCCACCGCUGCAGGUGGUCUGUUUGGUGCUGGGAGACGUCAUGCGUGUGUUGUCAGGCACUGGAACCCCCUGGGAGGGUGCAGGGCAGGUUUAGGACAGCCACGUGUGCCCAGAUCUAUGAGACCUUUGUGGGCUCGACUGAGUUGGGGGCUGGGCACAGAGCUUGGAGACCUCUUACUGGGAGCUGUGUGAGUGGCAGGGCCAAGGCUGUGGGGGCUGCAGGAGCUGGUGAGGAGGCAUGUGCUCGGCCGUCAUGGGACUGUCCCUGGGACUCCUGCAGCUGGGGUAGGCUCCAGGCAGGGCUCUGAGCUGCCCCCACACACCUCCAUGCAACCCCAGCUCCAUGUGCUGCUGGAAAGUCCCUGAGUACCAGGGGGGCACCUGGGGAGGGGCCUGAGUCCUGCAGACAGACCUGGGAUGGGGGUGUCAUCCACAGGUGAGGAGUGGUCCGUGCCAGGGACAGGCAGAGCCGCCAGCAUGGGCCCUGCUGGGAUCUCCGAUUGGGAAAACCAUCCCGCCACGGGAGGUGGCCAAGGUGCGUCCCCCAGCCUAUGCAUUGGGGUCCUGGUUCCAUCCCCGCCUCUCCUGUGGGCCGCACUCAGUGCCUUUUCCAUGUAACCCGUGCCGUGUGCGGUGCUCAGAGGAGGAGCGAUCGUCAUGGGGAGCUGCAGUGCCUUUUCCAUGUAACCCGCGCCGUGUGCGGGGCUCCGAGGAGGAGAGGACGUCACGGGGAGCUGCGGUGCCUUUUCCAUGUAACCCGCGCCGUGUGCGGGGCUCGGAGGAGGAGCGGUCAUCACGGGGAGCUGCAGCGCGUCUGGUGAUGUGGGGCUCACAGGCUCCUAAUGAGGCUCUCAGUCUUGUUUAUUGCGUUCUUGCUGGAAGAUUUUUUUUCUGAAACGUAGGCACAGAAUGAACUUGAAAUAUUGAGCUCUGCUUGAAAUAAAAAUGUCUUGAUAAUUAGAACCUUUGCCUGAACAGAUUCCUGUGGGGCUGCGCUGUGCAGGCUGGUUACGGGUGGGGCUCUGCUGCCCACCGAGUCAUUGCUCAAAGGCAAACGGGUCAAGCCACCGAG
rnacentral:lncRNA from 10 species